rnacentral:rRNA from 1 species
AAAAACAUAGCUCUAAGAAAUUAUUUAGAGUGAAACCUGCUCAAUGAAUAUUAUUUAAUUGCCGCGGUACCUUGACCGUGCUAAGGUAGCAUAAUCAGUUGACUUUUAAAUGAAGUCUGGAAUGAAUGGAAUAACGGGGUUAAGCUGUCUCAUUACUUUUCUUUUGAAUUUACUAACUAGGUGAAAAGGCCUAGGAAUAAUAAAAGACGAGAAGACCCUUAGAGUUUUGAUGAUUUUUGUUGGGGCGACAUAUAACCAUUAAACGUUAUUAGUACAAUAAGACAGUAUUAUCAUGAGUAAAUAAACUACCUGAGGGAUAACAGCAUAAUCUUUUAAGGUUUGUGACCUCGAUGUUGGACUAGGGAGCCUACAGGCUAGCCGCCUGUAAGGGGAAUUCUGUUCGAAUUUUUACCCCCUACGUGAUC